GACGAACGCUGGCGGCGUGCUUAACACAUGCCAGUCGAACGGAAAGGCCCUGCUUGUGUGGGGUGCUCGAGUGGCGAACGGGUGAGUAACACGUGAGUAACCUGCCCUUGACUUUGGGAUAACUUCAGGAAACUGGGGCUAAUACCGGAUAGGAGCUCCUGCUGCAUGGUGGGGGUUGGAAAGUUUCGGCGGUUGGGGAUGGACUCGCGGCUUAUCAGCUUGUUGGUGGGGUAGUGGCUUACCAAGGCCUUGACGGGUAGCCGGCCUGAGAGGGUGACCGGCCACAUUGGGACUGAGAUACGGCCCAGACUCCUACGGGAGGCAGCAGUGGGGAAUAUUGCACAAUGGGCGGAAGCCUGAUGCAGCAACGCCGCGUGCGGGAUGACGGCCUUCGGGUUGUAAACCGCUUUCGCCUGUGACGAAGCGUGAGUGACGGUAAUGGGUAAAGAAGCACCGGCUAACUACGUG
rnacentral:rRNA from 1 species